CGGGGGUCAGUGGGGGGCGCUAUGGGGCAGUGGGGAGCGGGAGGGGAAUGUAAGGGGUUCUAUGGGGCGGGGGGGGUCAGUGUGGGGUGCUAUGGAGCAGGGGGCCCAGUGGGAGGCGCUAUGGGUCCGUGUGGGUCUCUAUGGGUCGCUAUGGGUCGCUAUGGGUCGCUAUGGGUCUCUAUGGGUCUCCAUGGUUUUCUAUGGGUCCGUGUGGGUCUCUAUGGGUCGCUAUGGGUCAGACGUGACUCAGACCAUCUCUCUAUGGGUCAGAUUGGGUCAAUAUGAAGCAAAACUGGCUCCUCAGGGAGCAGAACUGGUUUGCUGUGGGGCAGACCCCAUUCCCUACGGGUCCCUAUGGGUCUCUAUGGGUCGCUAUGGGUCUCUAUGGGUCACUAUGGGUCUCUAUGGGUCUCUGUGGGUCGCUAUGGGUCUCUGUGGGUCAGAAGUGGGUCUCUAUGGGUUAGGAUGGGUCAGAUUGGGUCGAUGUGGAGCAGAACUGGCUCCUCGUGGAGCAGAACUGCUUCGCUGUGGGGCAGCCCCCAUUCCCUACGGGUCCCUAUGGGUCUCUAUGGGUCGCUAUGGGUCUCUAUGGGUCUCCAUGGUUUUCUAUGGGUCCGUGUGGGUCUCUAUGGGUCGCUAUGGGUCAGACGUGACUCAGACCAUCUCGCUAUGGGUCAGAUUGGGUCAAUAUGAAGCAGACCUGGCUCCUCGUGGAGCAGAACUGCUUCGCUGUGGGGCAGACCCCAUUCCCUACGGGUCCCUAUGGGUCUCUAUGGGUCCCUAUGGGUCUCUAUGGGUCUCUAUGGGUCUCUAUGGGUCGCUAUGGGUCUCUGUGGGUCGCUAUGGGUCUCUGUGGGUCAGAAGUGGGUCUCUAUGGGUUAGGAUGGGUCAGAUUGGGUCGAUGUGGAGCAGAACUGGCUCCUCACGGAGCAGAACUGCUUCGCUGUGGGGCAGCCCCCAUUCCCUACGGGUCCCUAUGGUUUUCUAUGGGUCUCUAUGGGUCGCUAUGGGUCUCUAUGGGUCGCUAUGGGGCAGCCCCACACACCUGCGCGCCAUGAGGACGUAGCGGUCGACGGGGGCCCCCAGGGCGGCGUUGAUGCUGCGGACGGUGUUGAGGUUGCGGAAGACGAGGAGCAUGGGGGGGGGCAGGGCCCGCAGCACCCCCAGGAUUUGGGGGAACCUGUGGGUCGCCAUCU
rnacentral:lncRNA from 1 species